CCCUCCCACUCUCCCCUCCUCUCCCUCUCUCCCACGCAUCUCACCCGCCGCCGCCCAAGCACCCCGCCGCCACCCUCUUCCCUUCUCGAUCUCGAUCCGCUGACGCGGCGUGAAUAUCCGUCGUCCUCGAGCUGGCUACUCCGCCACAUCCCCGCAGCGGCAGAGGAGGAGUCAGGGGUGGAGCUCCCAUUCGGCGGCAGCCGCAGCCAUCCCUCAAUGCGCCCCGAAACCCUAAGCCCGCGGCAUGGCGACCGAGCUCAAUACCCCUCUCCAUCCUGCACACGUCUAGUUUUGGGGCCAUGGAGGAGCAGCUGCUCCCAUCGGAUCUGGGGAAGGAGGACGCUCACCACCACCACGCUGCUCAACCUCACCGCCAUGAUUAUGUUGCCAAGACCACCAUAUGGUGGAGUCCUCUUCCACUCCGACGACUCCCACUGGUGGCCUCGGUUCUGCUUCCUCCCUGACAUUAGGCGCGCAAAAUCUAUCAAGUUCAUGUACUCAAUUACAACUGUCAUGUCGUGACUGUGGUGUCUGGACUUCUUGCACAAGCGCAGCCUCUAACCUAGCAUUUGGGCGCCAGAGAGAUGGUGGCUGGAGAUAUUUGAUUAACCGAUUCAGGCAUCUGCGAAUGCUUCUGGUUUCAUAUAGCCCUUGAUGAUUUGGACGGGACCCAGGGAGCCGAAGUUUGCUCUGGUAACCGAUACAAUCAAGAUUCUAAAGGCUUGGUCAGUAAGGAAGAGGACAGUGGCGACUCUCAUGGUAAGCUGGCAGGCAACGACUCUCGUGGUUACACCCCCGGGGAUGGUGUGCCCAGUGACCUCAUUUUUCCAUGGUUGCUCAUUUUGCUUCGUUACUAAGCAGACUUCAAGGUUGCAAAUCUUGAAUGCUGUUUAUGUUAUUUCUUUGUGUGUUCUUACUCUUAGGUAUGCACUAGCUUAGCAUUUAUGUUAUUGAUAGACUAGCAGCAACAUUGUGUGUUCUCCUUGCUGGUGUGAUCGCCGACGUGAGAGCUGGCCUGAAUAGCUUCGCCAGCAAGAAGAAAACCGAGAGAGAAGAGAGAGUGAGAGUGGAAAGUUCAGAAAUGUUCGGACGUUUUCAGUCUGCUCCAUUUACGAUGUUCAGUCAUUUACAAUAGCUUGCACAAUGUUCUGGUCUGGCAAAUGUUUUUAGAUGUGCAAAAGGGUGGUAGGUUUUUAGGCAUUUUCUUGGCGUAAAUAUUGAUCGUCAAACAGUUCUGUAUGUAGAAUCAUAUGCUAUUAAUGUCAUUCUACCACCAACAAAUUACUCACCUGACAUUUUUGCUCUGUGAAUGAAAUAAAAACGCAUCACUUACGAUUUAUUGCCUGCAAUUCCGAUUUCUGUUCUAGGCUUGGUUGAGUUCUGCUUUAUUUUCUAAGAAAUUAUGUGUUGGAUUUGGCACGGAGCUACUGCAUCGUUUUGUUUUGGCACUUGGUUCUUCGUCAAUGCUGAGCUAUUGUAAGUGAAUCUAUUUAUUUGUGCCUUACAAGUGCUCAACUGAUUGAUGGUAACGCUAUGCUACGUAAUUUGCUCUUCAUGAACGGUUAGCCCUAUUUUGAUAAACAUCGUUAUCACACAUUUUAGUUGCAUCAUAAUAAUCUUCUUCUUCUAACUUUCUUCUUUCCCAUUUUACAGAUUUGCUUAAGAUCACGGAAGCUUGGGUUGAUGGAGUGCUUGUAUUUAGUUUUUGUUUU